GUUUGAUCNUGGCUCAGGAUGAACGCUAGCGGCAGGCCUAAUACAUGCAAGUCGAACGCCCAGCAAUGGGAGUGGCGCACGGGUGCGUAACGCGUAUGUAACCUACCUUAUUGAGGGGGAUAGCCCGGAGAAAUUCGGAUUAAUACCGCAUAAGAUGGAAGACUGGCAUCAGUUUUUCAUGAAAGAUUUAUUGCGAUAAGAUGGACAUGCGUCUGAUUAGUUAGUUGGUGAGGUAACGGCUCACCAAGACGAUGAUCAGUAGGGGUUCUGAGAGGAAGGUCCCCCACACUGGCACUGAGAUACGGGCCAGACUCCUACGGGAGGCAGCAGUAGGGAAUAUUGGGCAAUGGAGGGAACUCUGACCCAGCCAUGCCGCGUGCAGGACGAAGGAGCUAUGCUCUGUAAACUGCUUUAGCAGGGGAAGAAAAGGCGUCUGCGGACGAGAUUGACGGUACCCUGAGAAUAAGCACCGGCUAACUACGUGCCAGCAGCCGCGGUAAUACGUAGGGUGCAAGCGUUGUCCGGAUUUAUUGGGUUUAAAGGGUGCGUAGGCGGCUUUAUAAGUCAGUGUUUAAAGCACAUAGCUCAACUAUGGAACUGGCAUUGAUACUGUAGAGCUUGAGUAGAAACGGGGCAGGCGGAAUUUAUGGUGUAGCGGUGAAAUGCAUAGAUACCAUAAAGAACACCGAUAGCGAAGGCAGCUUGCCAGGAUCUAACUGACGCUGAGGCACGAAAGCGUGGGGAUCAAACAGGAUUAGAUACCCUGGUAGUCCACGCCGUAAACGAUGAU
rnacentral:rRNA from 1 species